rnacentral:rRNA from 1 species
AGCUAGAGUAGGUGAGAGGGAAGUAGAAUUCCAGGUGUAGCGGUGAAUGGUAGAGAUCUGGAGGAAUACCGAUGGCGAAGGCAGCUUCCUGGCAUCAUACUGACACUGAGGCUCGAAAGCGUGGGUAGCAAACAGGAUUAGAUCCCUGGUAGUCCACGCCGUAAACGAUGUCUACUAGUCGUUGGGGAACNUGAUUCNUAGUGACGCAGCUAACGCAAUAAGUAGACCGCCUGGGAGUACGGCCGCAAGGUUAAAACUCAAAUGAAUUGNCGGGGGCCCGCACCAGCGGUGGAGCAUGUGGUUUANUUNGAUGCAACGCGAAGAACCUACCUGGUCUUGACAUAUCUAGAAUCCUGCAGAGAUGCGGGAGUGCCUUCGGGAAUUAGAAUACAGGUGCUGCAUGGCUGUCGUCAGCUNGUGCGUGAGAUGUUGGGUUAAGUCCCGCAACGAGCGCAACCCUUGUCCUUAGUUACCAGCGGGUUAAGCCGGGAACUCUAAGGAUACUGCCAGUACAAACUGGAGGAAGGCGGGGACGACGUCAAGUCAUCAUGGCCCUUACGACCAGGGCUACACACGUGCUACAAUGGUAGGUACAGAGGGCAGCUCACAGCGAUGUGAUGCGAAUCUCAAAAAGCCUAUCGUAGUCCAGAUUGGAGUCUGCAACUCGACUCCAUGAAGUAGGAAUCGCUAGUAAUCGCGAUCAGAAUGCCGCGGUGAAUACGUUCCCGGGCCUUGUACACACCGCCCGUCACACCAUGGGAGUUGAUUGCACCAGAAGUGGUUAGCCGA